rnacentral:lncRNA from 1 species
GCUGAGUAUAUAAUAUGACGUAGUAGCAAUCAUUCUAUGUUUACGUCAUUACGCGGGAUCUUGUUCAUUUAUUUAAUUGUAUAAUAAGUAAUAACACAGAAGAGCCAUCCCGAAUCCCUCUGGUCUAGAUAAUUCCCUGCUCCGUUGGUAAGCUUUAUACACGGUAAUAAUUCAUAAUGAUCCUGUAAUCUCUAACUGGACAGAGACGACUUAUAGGAUUUCCAUUGAGUGGAGUACAUACUCUUCCAGCCUUGAUGGAAUAGGUUCUGUUUAUAUUUCGAAGACGUUGCUAUAAGUCAAUCUGAAGGGCGGAGUUCUUGGCCGUACCUUUCAUGGAUAAUGCAAUCCACCAUUUUAACAACGGGAACCACUUUUGAGCAAAAAUAAAAUUGAAUGAGGUCUCAAUGUUUUCUUUACAAAAAAAAGCACAUUCUAGACUCAACCAUUUGUUUUGACUUAUUUGUAAAUAAAUAAGAAGUGGGCAAUCGGUAUCUUAACCAUUUUUGAUGGGAAUCUGUUAGGUUCAGUCUCUCCAAUCUUCUCUUGACGAUAAGAGACGACACUCUGUUGUUAUUCAGUCACUGUUUAUUGCAGAUCUUAUUCUACUCUUAGAGAGUGCUUCCACUGCUAUGGAGAAGGGAGUUGAAGGCUCGAGAUUACUGGUUUUUGAACGGUAGCAUAAAAAUAAUCUCUUGGUUCUACUUAAUAGAAUGAAAUUGCCUAGCUCCGUAUCUCCACGAGAUAGAUAUUGACAAGUUAUUCCCCCUUCCCUUAAAAGCACGUCAAGACUUCACAACCUUGGAUAUAAGUUAAAAGGUUCGUUAGAUCUCAUGGUAUGAAAAAUGUCAUUCAUAAUGAAUUCCCGCGACCAACCAAUCUGUCUACAGUAUUGAUCACUUUUUUCAUCAUCCCAAAUAGCUCCGAUGGUCCCGUAAAUAAUCGGUCAAUCAGAUCAUGAUCAAUUCUUUUCUCAAACUCACCCUUGAUCCUUAACGCCCAGAAAUCACUGCUUUUCCUCAGUCUCUUGUAACCCUAGAGAAGUUAAGCACUUUUCACAAGCUUCUAUGUUAGGAGAUCAGAGGUGUAUUUAUGCGUCUUCUAGAAAGGUAGGCUCUUGAUCACCUCCCCCGAUUCGGCGAUUAAGAAUGCCUGAUCAAAGUCAGAGAGCCACAACUCAUAAAGUCUGGGAUAAAGCGUUUCUUAAAUAUUUCUUUAAAAUCUUCGCGAGUAUUGGUGAUAGAAGUAAAUCAAACUCUUAAAAGAACUCGAAA